rnacentral:rRNA from 1 species
UACGGGGGGUGCGAGCGUUGUCCGAAGUUACUGGGCGUAAAGAGCGCGUAGGCGGACCCUUAAGUGAGGGGUGAAAGGUUCGGGCUCAACCCGGAGAGUGCCUUUCAUACUGGGGGUCUUGAGUGCGGGAGAGGCGAGUGGAAUGGUCGGUGUAGCGGUGAAAUGCGUAGAUAUCGAUCGGAACACCCAUGGCGAAGGCAGCUCGCUGGCCUGCAACUGACGCUGAGACGCGAAAGCGUGGGGAGCAAACAGG